UAAAUUAAAGCUUUGUUGAAGCGCUGGAUUUUUAACUCAGAGAAGCCUUUUAGGGUUGAUUUAG
rnacentral:tRNA from 1 species